rnacentral:lncRNA from 1 species
AAGUUCCUUCUAUGUUGCUGCCAUAACACGAUAUUCAGCUUCAACACUAGAUAGUUCAACUGUACUUUGUUUCUUGCUCCUCCAUGAGGUCGUGUUUCCUCCGAUAAGAACACAAUACCCAGAAGUAGAUCUCCCAUCUGACGAUGAUCCUGUCCAAUUUGCAUCUGAAUAACACAUGAUUUUAGCACCACCUUUAUCUUUGUAUAAUAGGCAUCUUCCUGGUGCAUUAUUUAUAUAUACGAGAAUCUAAAUAACUGCAUUCCAAUGAGUAUCAGAAGGAGCAUUCAGGAAUUAACUCAUAAUGCUCACAACAAAAGUAAUAUCUGAUAUGGUGACUGUAAGAUAAAUGAGUCUACCCACUAAACGUUGAUAUCUUUUCGGGUCUUGCAACAACCCCCCUGACCCAGAAUAAGCUUGAUGUUGGAAACCAUAUGGGUAUCAAUCAGACGACAGUCAAGCAUACCAGUUUUAGUUAGGAUGUCUAAUGCAUACUUACGUUGGUUAAUUGCAAAUGCCUAAUUAGGACUAAACAACUUCAAUACCUAAGAAGUAUCUGAGUGAACCCAAAUAUUUUGUUUGAAAGUUUUUGAAAUGAGUUUUGAGUCGCUGGAUACCCUCUGUAUCGUCUCUAAUAAUAACAAUGUCCUCAACAUAGACCACAAGAAAGAUGCGCUGACCGGUAGAGGAAUGAAGGAAGAAAACUGAGUGAUAUGCUUCACAUCUAGUCAUACCAAACUGUAUCAAGGCAGAACUGAAGCGGCCAAACCAAGCACGUGGAGAUUGUUUCAUCCCAUUAGAGACGAUGACGGGGGGAUUUACCCGACUUUAAAGAUUCUAGCCACCAAAGUAUCCAGAUUCUCCAUAAUAUACCACCCUUGUUUCGCCACCAUAACCAUAUUGAAAGCUUUGAAAACUCUAAAUCCAAGACCACCGUCCUCUUUGGCACAAGUCAAUCUAUCCUAAGCAAGCCACCUAAUUAUUUUAUUAUGAUUACCACCCCCUAGCAAAAAUAGUUUAACAUCUUCUCAAUAUCAUUAGCAAUAUUAUCUGGAAUCACAAAUACACUCAUAAUAUACGAAGGUAUAACUUAAAACAUUGAUUUAAUCUUGAUCUCUUUCCCUACUUUAGACAAUGACUUUCCUCUCCAAAAAUUAAUUCUCCUCCAAAUUUGAUCUUUUAUAAACGUAAAAGUAUUUUUCUUACUUUUAUCAAUCAUCGAUGGCAACCCCAAGUACUUUCCGGUACCUAAUACACAACGAACUCCCAUUAGACGCGCAAGAUCUUACUGGACUGGACCACUAAUAUUACGACUGAAGAAUACUUAUGACUUGGACAUAUUAAUUUCCUAGCCUGAUGCUUUUGCAUACUUAUGGAGAAUUUUCAUGAGAUGAUUCACUUCAGAUAAAUUGACCCUGCAAAACAAAAAACAACCGUCAGCAAAAAGUAGAUGGGACAACAUUGACACCGCUCUACUAAUAAGAGUGGAAAGUCCUUCAACAACUAGGAUGGAGAGAUACGGAGACAAAUGAUCUCCUUGUCUCAACCCCCCCGGAUGAAUUGGUCUGACUCUAUCCAUGUUAACUAGAAUAUAGUAAUUCACCGACGUAACACACAUCAUCAUCCAAUGAAUUAAUCUAUCUGCAAAUCCCAUACGACUUUGGACACUUCCCAUAAAACCCCAAUUCACUAUAUCAUAAGCUUUGCUUAUGUCAAUCUUAAGAGCUAAUUCCUUACCCUUCGUCCUUCUCUUCAACGCAUGUAUAGUCUCGAUAACUAUCAUAGCGUUAUCAAGAAUAUAUCGACCUUCUAACUGCUCCUCUAACACACACUUAGAUAAACAUUUUUUCAUUCUGUUAGCAAGAAGUUUUGAAACCAUCUUCUACACCACAUUAAAUAAUGAUAUAAAUCUCAAAUCCUUGAUGUUAUUAGGAUUCUCGCACAAUAAUAUUUUCUUAAAAUAUUGACAUAAUUAGUCACUAAGUCCCUUAACUUAACUUAUUGUUCCGCUUUAGUCCCUUAAAUAAAAAAACGUUACAAAUUAGUCUUUUAAGUUCCCUUAUGUUACUCUAUUUGGUCCUUUCCGUCAAUUUGUGAAAAAAAACGUUAAGUUCUGGUGAUGUGACAUGACAACAAGACCGUCGGUACAAAUCUGAACUAUCACAUAUAGUUAAAAAUUGAUACAUUGUUUAAAUGAUAAAAUCAAAAUCAUCGCAAUUUAAACCGUGUAUCAUUUUUUAAUUAUAUAUUUUGAUUCGAAUUUUAACAAAUGACCUUGAUACAUCAAAUCAGAGAAUUUAACAUUUAUUUUUAAUAAAAAAAUUAAUAGACUAAAUAAAAUAAUAAAAAUGAAAUUAAAUAACUAACUUUAAAAUUUUUUAAUUAAGAACUAAGGCAAAGAUUAAAUUAAAUUAAGGGAGCAAAACAUCUAUUAACUCUAAAAUAUUAAUAUUUAUAAAAUUAUUUGAAAACGCCUCGUAGAAUCAUCCGGAAAAAGUAAUCAUAACGCGCCCAAAAUGACGCGUAUCUAAAGGGGAGAAAAAGUCCAUACACAACAACAUUCUUCCCUUCUUUCGUCACUCGUCCUCUUCCUCUGCAACCUAACAAAACCCCCCAAAUUCAUUCUCCCCAACACCAUCUCCAAACCCUAAUCCGAUCACCUCAAAACAAAAUCCACCGAUGUGGGCUGCUUCGUGCUUGGCGUCAUGCUGCGCCGCCUGCGCAUGCGACGCUUGCAGGACCGUCGUUUCAGGCAUCAGCCGUCGUUCAGCCAGGAUCGCUUACUGCGGCCUCUUCGCUCUUUCCCUCUUCGUUGCUUGGAUCCUCCGUGAAGUCGCUGCUCCUCUCAUGGAAUCAAUUCCCUGUAACUAUUCCCUCCUUCAAACCCUAAUUCUUUUUUUUUAUCCUUUCUAAUUUCGAAUUAUGAAAUAAAAUUCUUUAUUCUUCAAUUGGAGGAUUGUAUGUAAAACACCUCUUUAAAAUUAUUAAGCUAUCUGUUUAAUCUGGAAUGUUUAACUUUUUAAUUUUUAAUUUUUACCUUUUUUUUAUUAUGAAAAUUGUGUUGUUGUAAAAUUACCAUGUUUCAUACGGAUAAUACACGUACAGUUUUUACAAGUUAAUUUAGUGAAUUUAGAUGAGGAUAUAAUUGGGUUAUUAUGGACUUGAGGAUGAAGCUAAUGUAUUUGAAAAAUGGUGCAGGGAUUAAUCACUUUAAACAAACUCCGAGCCGUGAGUGGUUUGAGACAGAUGCAGUUCUACGUGUUAGCUUUGGAAACUUUCUGUUUUUCACUAUUCUGGCUACUAUGAUGGUUGGUGUUAAAACUCAGAAGGAUCCCCGUGAUGGCUUGCAUCAUGGGGGUUGGAUGAUGAAAAUUGUCUGUUGGUGUCUUAUGGUUAUCUUUACGUUUUUUCUUCCGAAUGAGUUCAUCAGCUUUUAUGGUGAGAAUGCUUUUCAGUUUGCAUUUUGAAAUGGAUUCAUUUUAGUUUAUUGCCAUACAUAUUGAGUUUAAUGUUGUUUAUACAAUCAUUGAAUUUGAUUCAAAAGGAAAUAAUGUAGAGAUGUGUUUUCCUAUGCGUUUGACAUAUAAUUUUGUUAACGGGGGGAUGAAUUUUGUUUAUUUGCAGAAACAAUAUCAAAGUUUGGCUCCGGUUUGUUUCUUCUUGUUCAAGUUGUGCUCUUGUUGGAUUUUGUUCACGGAUGGAAUGACAAAUGGGUUGGAUUUGAUGAACAAUUCUGGUCAGUUUUAGGCUUUGCUAUAUUAAUUUACUUCUGUAACAUAUUUUUGAUUACUUUCUAUUAUAUAUGUUUUAAUGACAUUUCAGUAUUUAAUUGUUUCUUUGUUGAAACAGGUAUGUUGCUUUAUUUGUUGUUUCACUUGUUUGUUAUAUUGUCACACUUGUAUUUUCGGGAGUUCUCUUUCACUUCUUCACACCAUCUGGACAAGACUGCGGAAUCAAUGUCUUUUUUAUUACUAUGACCCUGAUCCUCGCAUUUGUUUUUGCCAUAGUAGCUUUGCACCCUGCGGUA